GACGAACGCUGGCGGCGUGCUUAACACAUGCAAGUCGAACGGAAAGGCCCUUCUUGCAGGGUACUCGAGUGGAGAACGGGUGAGUAACACGUGGGAGAUCUGCCCUGCACUUCGGGAUAAGCCUGGAAAACUGGGUAUAAUACCGGAGAGGAGCUAUCUUCAGUGUGGUGGUUGGAAAGUUUUGUCGGUGUUGGAUGAGCUCGCGGCCUAUCAGCUUGUUGGUGGGGUAAUGGCCUACCAAGGCGGUGACGGGUAGCCGGCCUGAGAGGGUGGACGGCCACAUUGGGACUGAGAUGCGGCCCAGACUCCUACGGGGGGCAGCAGUGGGGAAUAUUGCACAAUGGGCGCAAGCCUGAUGCAGCAACGCCGCGUGGGGGAUGACGGCCUUCGGGUUGUAAACCGCUUUCGCUAGGGACGAAGCUUUUUGUGACGGUACCUGGAGAAGAAGCACCGGCUAACUACGUG
rnacentral:rRNA from 1 species